rnacentral:tRNA from 1 species
UGAUAAUUAGUUUAAAUUAAAACAAGUGAUUUCGACUCACUAAAUUGUGUAUCAACACAAUUAUC